rnacentral:tRNA from 1 species
GCUGGUGUGGCUCAGUGGGUAGAGCGUCAGCCUGCGGACUGAAGGGUCCCGGGUUCAAUUCCGGUCAAGGGCA